GGUACCGUGGCAGAGUGGUCUAAUGCCGGGGCCUGCAAAGCCUUCGUUCAUGGGUUCGAAUCCCAUCGGUACCU
rnacentral:tRNA from 1 species